GGCCCGUUCUCCCCAGCUCCAGAGCAGCAGCAAAGGGAAGCAGCGUCCUCGCCAAUACCUGGGCUGUCCUUCAAGGCUCAGUGCAAGGAAAAACACCUGGGUUGGACAUCAGGCAUUAUGACUCUCACCCAGAGGGACACCAUGUCUAGGAGCUUCUUCUCGUGUGGGCCCUGUUCUCCAGAUGUCUGAUGGAUAAGGAAAUUGAGACUCAAAGAGGACCCCCAUGGAGAAAGUAAUGAAGCUUGAAUUUAGACCCAAGAUCAUGUCCCUUUCACUUCCUCAGCCUGCCCAGGAAGUUUAUAGCGUGCUCAUGCCACAAACCCUGGAGCUGGAUACGCGCUCAAUUGGCUUGAAGACCUUGGUCCUCAAUAGUCCUCUCUCCCCUUACUCACCAGGUAGUGCUGACUUCCAGACCACUGAGGUCACCUGCAUAAGCGAGUCUGGCAACAAAUAAUCGUCUUCCAGAAAAUGACCAGAAACUCAGCCUGCUUUUUGUCAUUUCACCAGCCCCACCAUCUUUCCUUUAUUCUAGAGCUCCUGGCACACUUACAUGAAUCUCUUGAAAGAAGAGAAAUGAGAGCAUUCAUUCCAUACUAAUACAAUUGUGCCCUAUGGAAAGGCUUUUUGCUGGCAGACAUAGUAGACGGACCAUUUCCCAACUUCUUUUUCUUUGCCACCUUCCAGCCAAAGGUGUCCAUAUGACACAGCUCUGGACAGGAUAAUUGGAAGUCUGUUGUGGGAUUUCUGAGAAAGCUUUUGAUUUUCUGACAGAGACAUUUUUGCUUCCCCUUACCACUUCCUACUGGAUUACAGAUGUGAUGGAAAGAGCUGCAGCAGCCAUAAUACAACCAUAAAGGAGAGGAGAAGAGAAUUGCAAAGGCAUCAACCCACAUUGAAUUGAACUGCUAAGUUAACACUAGCAGUUACUUGCCUCCAGAUAUCUUGGUGUGUGAGAACAUUAAAUCUGUAUGUGUCUAAAUCAGUAUGGGUGAACAUUUCUGUCACUAAAGUCAAAAGCAUCCCUGAAACAGUGCAUGAUUCCAUAUGACCCUUACCACAACCCUGGUAAAUAGGUAUAAUUAUCCUUCA
rnacentral:lncRNA from 1 species